rnacentral:rRNA from 1 species
CCUACGGGGGGCAGCAGUGGGGAAUAUUGCACAAUGGGCGCAAGCCUGAUGCAGCCAUGCCGCGUGUGUGAAGAAGGCCUUCGGGUUGUAAAGCACUUUCAGCGGGGAGGAAGGCGUUAAGGUUAAUAACCUUGGCGAUUGACGUUACCCGCAGAAGAAGCACCGGCUAACUCCGUGCCAGCAGCCGCGGUAAUACGGAGGGUGCAAGCGUUAAUCGGAAUUACUGGGCGUAAAGCGCACGCAGGCGGUCUGUCAAGUCGGAUGUGAAAUCCCCGAGCUCAACCUGGGAACUGCAUUCGAAACUGGCAGGCUAGAGUCUUGUAGAGGGGGGUAGAAUUCCAGGUGUAGCGGUGAAAUGCGUAGAGAUCUGGAGGAAUACCGGUGGCGAAGGCGGCCCCCUGGACAAAGACUGACGCUCAGGUGCGAAAGCGUGGGGAGCAAACAGGAUUAGAUACCCGUGUAGUC